UGACCUCAAAUCAGGUAGGACUACCCGCUGAACUUAAGCAUAUCAAUAAGCGGAGGAAAAGAAACUAACAAGGAUUCCCCUAGUAACUGCGAGUGAAGCGGGAAAAGCUCAAAUUUAAAAUCUGGCAGUCUUUGGCUGUCCGAGUUGUAAUCUAGAGAAGCAUUAUCCGCGCUGGACUGUGUACAAGUCUCCUGGAAUGGAGCAUCAUAGAGGGUGAGAAUCCCGUCUUUGACACAGACUACCAGGGCUUUGUGAUGUGCUCUCAAAGAGUCGAGUUGUUUGGGAAUGCAGCUCAAAAUGGGUGGUAAAUUCCAUCUAAAGCUAAAUAUUGGCGAGAGACCGAUAGCGAACAAGUACCGUGAGGGAAAGAUGAAAAGAACUUUGGAAAGAGAGUUAAACAGUACGUGAAAUUGCUGAAAGGGAAACGCUUGAAGUCAGUCGCAUUGUCCAGGGAUCAACUCUUGCUUUUGCUUGGUGUACUUCCUGGUUAAUGGGUCAGCAUCAAUUUUGACCAUUGGAAAAAGAUUAAGGGAAUGUGGCAUCUUUAGAUGUGUUAUAGCCCUUGGUUGCAUACAUUGGUUGGGAUUGAGGAACUCAGCACGCCGCAAGGCCGAGUUUUUUAACUACGUACGUGCUUAGGA
rnacentral:rRNA from 2 species